GGGCCACACCUGUUCCCAUUCCGAACACAAGCGUUAAGCCCUACAGCGCCGAUGGUACUCCGUCCGAGAGGACGCGGGAGAGUAGGCCGUCGCCGGCA
rnacentral:rRNA from 1 species